AUACUUACCUGGCGUCGGGGUUACCGUGAUCAACAAGGCGGUUCCCUCAGGGCGAGGUCUGGCCAUUGCACCAGGGCCGGAUUGACCCCUGCGAUUGUCCCUAAUGUGGAUAACUCGGUCGCGCAAUUUUUGGUAGUCGGGACUGCGUACGCGCUGUCCUGG